UACGGAGGGUGCAAGCGUUAUCCGGAUUCACUGGGUUUAAAGGGUGCGUAGGAGGGCAGGUAAGUCAGUGGUGAAAUCUCCGAGCUUAACUUGGAAACUGCCGUUGAUACUAUCUGUCUUGAAUAUUGUGGAGGUGAGCGGAAUAUGUCAUGUAGCGGUGAAAUGCUUAGAUAUGACAUAGAACACCAAUUGCGAAGGCAGCUCGCUACACAAAUAUUGACUCUGAGGCACGAAAGCGUGGGGAUCAAACAGG
rnacentral:rRNA from 1 species